rnacentral:rRNA from 1 species
GACGAACGCUGGCGGCGUGCUUAACACAUUCAAGUCGAGCGGAGCGGCGAACGGGUGAGUAACGCGUGAGUAAAUGCCCCCCUCUCUGGGAUACCAGCUGGAAACGGAUGCUAAUACCGGAUAGUGGGGGAUGACUCGCGUCCUAUCAGCUGGUUGGUGGGGUAGUGGCCUACCCAGGCGACGACGGGUAGCCGGCCUGAGAGGGCGAACGGCCACAGUGGGCUGAGAUACGGCCCAAACUCCUACGGGAGGCAGCAGUGGGGAAUAUUGCACAAUGGGGGAAACCCUGAUGCAGCAACGCGCGUGCGGGAUGACGGCCUUCGGGUUGUAAACCUCUUUCAGCCAUGACGCGGUAGUGUCAUGAGAAGCACCGGCUAACUACGUGCCAGCCGCCGCGGUAAUUC